CACGUAGGGUGCGAGCGUUGUCCGGAAUUAUUGGGCGUAAAGAGCUCGUAGGCGGUGUGUCGCGUCGGCCGUGAAAACCUGCAGCUUAACUGUGGGCGUGCGGUCGAUACGGGCAUCACUGGAGUUCGGCAGGGGAGACUGGAAUUCCUGGUGUAGCGGUGAAAUGCGCAGAUAUCAGGAGGAACACCGAUGGCGAAGGCAGGUCUCUGGGCCGUAACUGACGCUGAGGAGCGAAAGCAUGGGGAGCGAACAGG
rnacentral:rRNA from 1 species